AUGGUUUUGAAUGAUUGUGUCAAUCAUAAUCAUCAUCAUCAUCAUCAUCAUCAUUCAUCUGAAAUGUCCUUUAGAAUUACACAAGAUAGUAGAUUCUUCUCUAGGCUAAUGUCCAAAGAAACCUCAAAUGCAAACUCAUCUUCAAGGAGAGUGUUCUAUUAUGGUGAAACAUCAGUUGCUGUUCCUUUCACUUGGGAAGCUCAACCUGGAACACCUAAACAUCCUUUGGUUGUUGGUUCAAGGAAGUCUCAUGUGUCGCCUUCUUUGUCGUCCUCAUCUUGGCCGUCGUCCUCGUCUUCGUCGUCCUCUUCGUUUUCGAUGAGAGACGGAAGCUUCUCGAGAUCUCGCCGCGGCUCAAGGUCUUUGAAAAACAAGAUUUCUAAUGGGUUUAGAGGGUGCUAUCCUUUUGGGAGUAUGAAGAGUGCAACUGUAAGCCAUGGUGCACUUUAG